AGAUUUCUUUAUUAGUCACAUGUACAUCGAAACACACAGUGAAAUGCAUCUUUUGCGUAGAGUGUUUUGGGGGCAGCCCGCAAGUGUCACCACGCUUCUGGUGCCAACGUAGCAUGCCCACAACUUGCUAACCGAUUACGAUCACUUUUAUGGCUCAUUGAUUCCUUGGCACAUUGAGUAAGUUUUCCCUACUUCAUUUCCAAGCCCAAACCCAUCAUCAACUCAUUGCCAACUUCUACAAUUUCCACCGGACAUUAAUGGACAGAGGAGCAAAGGCAAAAUCAAUACUAAAAGCAGCUGUUACAGCACUACAAAGUCUUGAUGAAGAGAUGGCUUGCCAUAUGGAAGCAGAGCCUAGAAUCCCCUUGAAAGCAAUGGAGUUGCAGAUCCUGCACCUGGUCUAACCAGCCAAAGGAUCCAAGAAGCAUCUCCCCUGUCUGUGAGGCAAGAUUUCCAUGUUGACAGCUCACGAAGCCCCAGACUUGUUUCCAUUCAAAGAGGGAGAAUAGUCAAGUCCAGAUCUGCCUGCACAUUUCCUACUACACAUUUACAGAGUGACACUUGGAGAACCUGAGGAAUCACGAUGGGAAAAGAUAAAUCUGAAGAAGACUCAUCAAUUCUUAAAGAGGUUGCUGCGUGAUCCUCAUAAUGAAUGGGAGAAGCACUGGAAAAGUCUACUGCAGCAAAUGGCUUUACAUCAAAG